AUGACCGCAUCGACGGCGAAUCCUUCAGAGAUGAUAGUUUAUAUCUGCGUCCUUUUUGUACAAGAGAGUACAGAAUACAUCCUGUGUCCAACUAAUGCAGAGUAUAUUCAAGCUGCCAACACACUGAUGUGAAGAACGCUUUCCAGAGAAAUAUAGAAAGAAAUGACUGUGAAGCUUGUGUUGGGGAGGAUUCAGUGUCUGUUGAGGCACAUGUGAGUGUGUUACAAAGUGAAACACAUCCAGACACAUGGACUGUCAAAGACCACACGACAGGAACAUGCUCCUGAAGGAAUCUCUGAGGAGGAUGUACUCAGAAAAUACACAUACUUCAGGACACCUGCUGGAGGGGACCCGGCUACACCUUUCCUACCGUACACCUGAUGGAUACUGACUGUAAAAUGUCAAUCAUAGUUCGAGUGCUCAGUGUGGUGACAGAAGAUGAAACAGAUGUGUGUCCGUGCACCAGCUUUGAUGAAGCUUCAUAACAGCCUUCUGGAUGUAUCCUGCUUUCAACAUUGCAUAUCCACCACACCUGAGAAAGACACCGACUUUCCUUCAGAGGUACAUUGUCAACAUUAGAAGAUGGAGACAAGCACUGUCAGUAACUUUAAUCCUGAAUGAUUUGCCUCUUGUAUUAGAUCCUCAUGCCUUGACUGUACCAUUGCCCAAAAUGCACUCGAAGCACAUUCACUCUUGUGAAGUUAACUCAACAUGUUGGAGUGGUACAUGCACAUUAACCAAAUAGCUUGCUCUAUUCUUUUUCUAUUCUAUCUGUU